rnacentral:tRNA from 1 species
GGGGAUGUGGCUCAAGCGGUAGAGCGCUCGCCUGGCAUGCGCGGGGUGCUGGGUUUGAUCCUCAGCACCACA